rnacentral:rRNA from 1 species
AACGAACGCUGGCGGCAGGCUUAACACAUGCAAGUCGAGCGCCCCGCAAGGGGAGCGGCAGACGGGUGAGUAACGCGUGGGAAUCUACCCAUCUCUACGGAAUAACGCAUGGAAACGUGUGCUAAUACCGUAUACGUCCUUCGGGAGAAAGAUUUAUCGGAGAUGGAUGAGCCCGCGUUGGAUUAGCUAGUUGGUGGGGUAAAGGCCUACCAAGGCGACGAUCCAUAGCUGGUCUGAGAGGAUGAUCAGCCACACUGGGACUGAGACACGGCCCAGACUCCUACGGGAAGCAGCAGUGGGGAAUAAUGGACAAUGGGCGCAAGCCUGAUCCAGCCAUGCCGCGUGAGUGAUGAAGGCCCUAGGGUUGUAAAGCUCUUUCACCGGUGAAGAUAAUGACGGUAACCGGAGAAGAAGCCCCGGCUAACUUCGUGCCAGCCGCCGCCGUAAGAC